rnacentral:rRNA from 1 species
AGGUCACUGCUAUCGGGGUUCGAUUAAGCCAUGCGAGUCGAGAGGGUUCGGCCCUCGGCGUACUGCUCAGUAACACGUGGAUAACCUGCCCUAAGGAAGGGGAUAACCCCGGGAAACUGGGGAUAAUACCCUAUAGGUUACAGAUGCUGGAAUGCUCUGUAACUCAAAGCUCCGGCGCCUUAGGAUGGAUCUGCGGCCGAUUAGGUUGUUGUUGGGGUAACGGCCCAACAAGCCCGUAAUCGGUACGGGUUGUGGGAGCAAGAGCCCGGAGUUGGAUUCUGAGACACGAAUCCAGGCCCUACGGGGCGCAGCAGGCGCGAAAACUUUACAAUGCGGGAAACCGUGAUAAGGGGACACCGAGUGCCAGCAUCAUAUGCUGGCUGUCCAGGUGUGUAAAAUACACCUGUUAGCAAGGGCCGGGCAAGACCGGUGCCAGCCGCCGCGGUAACACCGGCGGCCCGAGUGGUGAUCGUGAUUAUUGGGUCUAAAGGGUCCGUAGCCGGUUUGGUCAGUCCUCCGGGAAAUCUGAUAGCUCAACUAUUAGGCUUUCGGGGGAUACUGCCAGACUUGGAACCGGGAGAGGUAAGAGGUACUACAGGGGUAGGAGUGAAAUCUUGUAAUCCCUGUGGGACCACCUGUGGCGAAGGCGUCUUACCAGAACGGGUUCGACGGUGAGGGACGAAAGCUGGGGGCACGAACCGGAUUAGAUACCCGGGUAGUCCCAGCCGUAAACGAUGCUCGCUAGGUGUCAGGCAUGGCGCGACCGUGUCUGGUGCCGCAGGGAAGCCGUGAAGCGAGCCACCUGGGAAGUACGGCCGCAAGGCUGAAACUUAAAGGAAUUGGCGGGGGAGCACAACAACGGGUGGAGCCUGCGGUUUAAUUGGACUCAACGCCGGACAACUCACCGGGGACGACAGCAAAAUGUAGGCCAGGCUGAAGACCUUGCCUGAAUCGCUGAGAGGAGGUGCAUGGCCGUCGCCAGUUCGUACUGUGAAGCAUCCUGUUAAGUCAGGCAACGAGCGAGACCCGUGCCAACAGUUGCCAGCAUGAUCUCCGGAUUGAUGGGGACACUGUUGGGACCGCCUCUGCUAAAGAGGAGGAAGGAAUGGGCAACGGUAGGUCAGCAUGCCCCGAAUUAUCCGGGCUACACGCGGGCUACAAUGGGCAGGACAAUGGGUAUCGACACCGAAAGGUGGAGGCAAUCUCCUAAACCUGUCCGUAGUUCGGAUUGUGGGCUGUAACUCGCCCACAUGAAGCUGGAAUCUGUAGUAAUCGCGUUUCAAAAUAACGCGGUGAAUGUGUCCCUGCUCCUUGCACACACCGCCCGUCAAACCACCCGAGUGGGGUUUGGAUGAGGCUGCGGUCGUUGCCGCAGUCGAAUCUAGGUUCCGCAAGGGGGGUU